rnacentral:lncRNA from 1 species
UUCCUCAGCCCACGGUCGUCCGCCGCCCGCCGCCUGUAAUUCGCCGGUUGCCUGCUUCGUGACCUCUUGCUAACUCUGCUUCGCAGCCCUCCGCCGCCUGUGCUUCACGGCCCACCGGAAGUAGAGGACAUAAACCUCUCAUCCAUAUCGCCGUCGAUUGGCGGUGAUGUCUAGCCUCACAUAAUCCGGCGGUGAUUCUUUCCAAAUUCACUAAUUGGAUGUGAGGGGAUUUGUACUCUUAAAUCUGCCCGGCAGCAAAUUUGGUGGUGGUGGUUGUUUUAGAAAAGAAAUUGGCCGCGGUGGCGUCGCGAGGGGUUGUUGGGUAUAGGCGGAGAAAUUGGAAAUUUGGACGAGGUGUUGGUGGAGGAAUUGGUGGUGGAGUUGGAGAUGACAGUGGAGGAAUUGAAGGUGGAGUCGGUGGAGGCUUAGGCGUUAGAAUAGGUGGCGAUGUUGGUGGCAGAUUUGGUGGUGGUGCGGCGGCGGAGCAGAUGUGGUGGUGGUGAUGCGGCGCCGGAGAGAGGAAGAAGACGGAGCAGUAAUUUGAUAUGAUAAUUUCAGGUGGUGGUGCGGCGGUGGAGAGAGAAGGUGUUG